GUAAUACUCCCUCCAUCCGGAAUUACUUGUCAUCAAAAUGGAUGUGUCUAGAACUAAAAUACAUCUAGAUACAUCCAUUUCAAUGACAAGUAUUUUCGGACGGAGGGAGUAGUAG
rnacentral:pre_miRNA from 1 species